rnacentral:miRNA from 1 species
GAAAAUUAGAAGACAAAGAAAUCCUUUGUUUUCAACUAAAUUUCCCCGGGGAAAUUUAGUUAAAAACAAAGGAUUUCUUUGUCUUCUAAUUU